rnacentral:rRNA from 1 species
ACGAACGCUGGCGGCGUGCUUAACACCUGCCAGUCGAACGGAAAGGCCCCCACUUUUUUGGUGGGGGUGCUCGAGUGGCGAACGGGUGAGUAACACGUGGGUGAUCUGCCCUGUACUUCGGGAUAAGCUUGGGAAACUGGGUCUAAUACCGGAUAGGACCAUGGUUUAGUGUCUCAUGGUGGAAAAAUUAUUGUUUUGGUGCAGGAUGAGCUCGCGGCCUAUCAGCUUGUUGGUGGGGUAAUGGCCUACCAAGGCGUCGACGGGUAGCCGGCCUGAGAGGGUGGACGGCCACAUUGGGACUGAGAUACGGCCCAGACUCCUACGGGAGGCAGCAGUGGGGAAGAUUGCACAAUGGGCGCAAGCCUGAUGCAGCGACGCCGCGUGGGGGAUGACGGCCGUCGGGUUGUAAACUCCUUUCGUUAGGGACGAAGCCGCACCUUUUUGGGGUGUGGUGACGGUACCUUUGUGAAGAAGCACCGGCUAACUACGUG